GUAACUACAGAUCCCAUAAUUCUUACCUCUGAGGAAGGAGCUCUAAGCUUCAGACAAGUUCUUAGAAAUGCCAAGUAGAGUUACUUGGCAACAAGAAAAAGAAACAGUUUCAGAAGCAGCCAGCUAGAGGCUGGAAUCCCCAACACCGUCUUCCAGAGAGUCUCUUGGGUGGCUCUCAUAUAAAGGUGACUGACACCCGAGGAUGCAGUGAGAUUGACAUCAAGUUUUUCAGCAACGUGUUUAUCAACGUGGACCAUUGCAAGAAACAACUGAGAGUAGCACUGGAGGCUCUGAGAGAAAACUUGAAGCAAACUUCAUACGGGACCAGGUCUAGUCGAGUGAAUUGUGGAUGAAGAAAAAUGCAAACAACUAUGGAAAGUGAAUAAAACAUUUUUUAAGAAAACAGACCAAGCUGUGUGCUACUUUAAUUCUAAAAUAAGAUCAAUGUUUUAAAACAAUGUUUCAGAACUGUUUAUUAAUUUAAAUAAUAGAUUCAUUACCGAGCCCUUGCUUUAAAUGAGUAAAGAGAACCAGCUUGAACGUGUCUUUUAAUGAAAAACACUACCUUCAGGAAUACCACACACCUACUAAAUUGUGGUAGUUAGUAAAAGACGUCAGGUGAAUGGCAUGAUGGUGACUAUAAUGAAGCACGUUGGGGUUGGAAAGGCAAAAGGGGAAAUGAUGGAGUUUCACAUACAAUUACACUUUGGACACGGAAAGACCACCUUUAAGAAAAAAGAAAAAAAAAAGAAGAAAUGAGAGAAUGUGUUUUUCAUUUUUACCCAUUGCUUCUUCCAAGUUUUCCCCAUUAAAUUUGUCAACUGUAGGGUACAUUAUACCAUUGUUAUUAUUAUUUAUCAAAACAGGACAGUUAAUGUACUUGAAAGACACAUUAAAAAUAAGAGUUAGGGUAUAGCCUUUCCAUCGUGACCUUAUUUGGAAUCAGAAUCUUAGUUCACUGUUAGUCAGAUCGAUGGUCUAUACUCCCUGCUCACCCAACUUCAAAGAACGCUGUAGAUGCACUCUCACGAUCUCUUUCCCCUUCCUCUAUAUUGCUGGCACACUUCUCCUGGAAAAACUGUGCUUGGAGUUCUUAUUUUGUUAGAUUUCCAGAACAAAUUUUGAAGUAGAAUCCAUGAAAAAUAACAGUACUGAAAACCUGGGUUCAUUUGUUCUAAUUGUUCCUGACGGAAAGACCAGUAAGCUCAUUUUCUAACCGAUGCUCUUUCUAGUCUUUCAACUCAUUAAAUAAUUUAAUUGAAAAGCCUUCAAAGUUGAACUGAAUUCCCAGGUAACCACCAUCCUUUCCUUUUCGCCUAUUAAAAUGCCUGUUCCUUUUCUCUUCCUCAGAGUGAUUUUUCAAGGGGCUAAUGGUUUUAAUUCAGCCCAGAAUAGAUUUUAUCCCAUAUUUUGUUUUGCUGAAUGGUUCCUGUUGCAAAAAAAGGGAGCGUAUUUGCAGAAAAAUGAGACUUCGAGGCAGACUCAGGGCGGAGGACUGUAAAGUCAGGAAAAGGAGGCAGAUUGUCCAAGGUUGUUUCAUUGAGCUGAUAUCUGUACGCAGCAGUUGCUUUUUCUGGCUUUCUUCUCCACUACUCAGAGCAACCAAGCCCAUACCAUGAUUCAUUUGAAGGUAAAAUUGAAUUAAAAAUGGAAAAGAAGCAGAUAUGUGAGUCUGACAGUUGGUUUUGACUCCCACCCACUGAGAGAGUAAGGACGUUUAUUGUUUCAGUUGAUACCUGGGUUUUGGUGAUAUAUUGUUUGUUGCUGUUAUUUUUUAAAGCUAUUCAGUUACUUUAUUUUGAAAGAUGGGUGUGAGAAAAGCCUUUCUUUUCAUUUGGAACUAGUCCACGUCUUAACCUACCAGUAACAGCAACUGUUCUGUGUCAGUCAUUUUCUGAGCCCUGCUUGGAAAUGAAAUCUCAAGAGACUGGCCCAAUAAGCCCAAAGUACUGGAAAUCAUGUCUGUGCCAGGGGCGCUGCGCUCCUCUCUUUACAUACCAGUGUGUUUGUUAUUGAAAACACAAUGGGAAAACGUUCUGAGCUUUGAAGGAGACAGUGCUAUAAAUAUGUGUCAUGACUAAAACGGUUACGGUUAUAAUUGGGAUGUCUGCCCACUAUCUCUUGUUUCUUAUUUAGUAAACCAUUGAUUUAGAGGUCUGGAAAACAAGAAUCUCUCUGUUACUUUAUAUGAUCAGUUCAGAUAUCCUUAAGGCUCUCUUUCUGAUAAAUAGCCCUUUUCAAGCAACAUUGAAGGAUAUAGAGUUGUCCUGAUAAGACAUAGACAAGAGAUACGUCUAUGGACAGGGCUGACAGGAAAUAGGAAGUGACAAAUAGCAUCACCGGAGGACUCAAGCACUGCUAAGACCCCUGCCAUAUUUCCACUUAUGAUAAUAGCAAAAAACUUUCAGGAAACUCAUUGAAUGGUAAGGCUCAUGUAAGUUAGCCUAGGACAUUACUGACAUUCUCAUUAAGCUUGACCCAUUGUAGAAGUGACCUGAACUCCCCAAUUGAUUCAAUACCUCAUUCAAGCCCUCUGGGAUCCACAUGAGUACGUUUCCCCUACCUGGGGCCAUGUUUCCCAAACAUACAGGUACCAUGUUGAGCCGAACAAGAUCUGCCUCUAAAUUGUGACAGGAAUGGUAGCCUACUGAUGUAAUUCCUUCUAACUCUCCCUGACUGAGAAAGAAGGAUAUCCUCCAUGCUUCACUUCUUAACCACACUUCACUUGUCUCAUUCAGAAUUCAGCAAAUGUUUGGAGGGGAAAGCAGGUCAAAUUUCAGGUUCAAUUCUCUACCUCUCCUUUUCACCAGGAUCAUGGCCUCCCGUCUCUAACACUGCUUCAACUUUAGGAGCUUGACAAAGUUCUGCUGGUUUCUAGAACCCCACAAGCUUCUCUUGGCCCAAAGUCCAUAUUUUCAUCCUCUUGUCUAUUCCUGAAAUCAUAUAUCCCGAGGAAAAAUGCAGCAGAAUAACAGUCUGCCUCUUCAUGAUCUUCUGCCCCCACCUCUCACUAAAUCUUGACCUCUCUAGCUUCAGCCACCCCCAAUGCCUCUAAAACACAUGUACACAGGAUUUUUUUCAUCCAAUUUUCUAGGUGUUCUCAGUGAGCAUUAAUCUCCUGUAUACUACUGCAUUACACCAGAAGUAGAAGUCUUACUUCUUCUACAAUAUCUUACUUAAUCAUAUUUAUAAUUAACAGUACCUUGUGCUACA